rnacentral:rRNA from 1 species
GACGAACGCUGGCGGCGUGCUUAACACAUGCAAGUCGAGCGAAGAGCGAUGGAAGCUUGCUUCUAUCAAUCUUAGUGGCGAACGGGUGAGUAACGCGUAAUCAACCUGCCCUUCAGAGGGGGACAACAGUUGGAAACGACUGCUAAUACCGCAUACGAUCUAAACUCGGCAUCGAGGAUAGAUGAAAGGUGGCCUCUACAUGUAAGCUAUCACUGAAGGAGGGGAUUGCGUCUGAUUAGCUAGUUGGAGGGGUAACGGCCCACCAAGGCGAUGAUCAGUAGCCGGUCUGAGAGGAUGAACGGCCACAUUGGGACUGAGACACGGCCCAGACUCCUACGGGAGGCAGCAGUGGGGAAUCUUCCGCAAUGGACGAAAGUCUGACGGAGCAACGCCGCGUGAGUGAUGACGGCCUUCGGGUUGUAAAGCUCUGUUAAUCGGGACGAAAGGCCUUCUUGCGAAUAGUGAGAAGGAUUGACGGUACCGGAAUAGAAAGCCACGGCUAACUACGUG